UACGUAGGAGGCAAGCGUUGUCCGGAAUCACUGGGCGUAAAGCGCGUGUAGGCGGUGGGGGUAGUCUGCUGUGAAAGCGCCUGGCUUAACCGGGCGAGGUCGGCGGAAACUCUCCCACUGGAGGCCGGUAGAGGGGGGUGGAAUUCCCGGUGUAGUGGUGAAAUGCGUAGAGCUCGGGAGGAACACCCGUGGCGCAGGCGGCCCCCUGGGCCGCGCCUGACGCUGAGACGCGAAAGCGUGGGGAGCGAACGGG
rnacentral:rRNA from 1 species